GAUGAACGCUGGCGGCGUGCCUAAUACAUGCAAGUCGAGCGAACGGACGAGAAGCUUGCUUCUCUGAUGUUAGCGGCGGACGGGUGAGUAACACGUGGAUAACCUACCUAUAAGACUGGGAUAACUUCGGGAAACCGGAGCUAAUACCGGAUAAUAUUUUGAACCGCAUGGUUCAAAAGUGAAAGACGGUCUUGCUGUCACUUAUAGAUGGAUCCGCGCUGCAUUAGCUAGUUGGUAAGGUAACGGCUUACCAAGGCAACGAUGCAUAGCCGACCUGAGAGGGUGGUCGGCCACAAUGGAACUGAGACACGGUCCAGACUCCUACGGGAGGCAGCAGUAGGGAAUCUUCCGCAAUGGGCGAAAGCCUGACGGAGCAACGCCGCGUGAGUGAUGAAGGUCUUCGGAUCGUAAAACUCUGUUAUUAGGGAAGAACAUAUGUGUAAGUAACUGUGCACAUCUUGACGGUACCUAAUCAGAAAGCCACGGCUAACUACGUG
rnacentral:rRNA from 1 species